GGCACUUUGGCGGAGUGGUUAACGCGAUGCCCUGCUACUUGCCAGCGCGAGGCAUUUCCCUCGGGAGCGUGUGUUCGAAUCACACAGGUGUCG
rnacentral:tRNA from 1 species